AGUGUGCUGACUCAAUCUCUCUCAGCUGCUGCUGGCUGCUGCCGUUAUUUGAGGGCCGUACAAUUUUUACGAUGAGCGCUCGAAAUCACGCAUUCUUAUGACUAAAACGUUAUCUCAUGAUUAGGAAAGAACUUACAAAGACGUAAUGGACGCCUUAAAACAGCCUGUUGAGGAGGGAAAUGGUGACGCCGGUCACGUACUGGAGAAUCCCUUUGAGCUGGACGACCCAGCAUUUGACGAAGUCGAUGUGCACAUACAAGAAAACCUCGAAGAUGAAUUUAUUCAAGAAGCGUUGCAAUCGGGCAUGGACCUGAGGCAGUACUCGCUUCAGGUUGAGAAAGACCUCAAAGAAGUCGAGAAUGCUUCCAUCCAAGACUAUAUCAAGGAAAGCGUCAACAUCGCCAGUCUUCACAACCAAAUAGCAGCCUGUGAUCAAAUACUUGAGCGAAUGGAAAACAUGCUGAAGACUUUCCAGGAGGAUUUGGGCAGUAUUAGUCACGAGAUUCUGACACUUCAACAACAGUCGGUGUCUAUGAACCUUCGUCUCAAGAACAGACAGGCUGUUCGCGGGGAACUCAGUCAGUUUGUCGACGACAUCAUCGUGCCGGAAAGCAUGAUACUAAACAUCCUCGAGGCACCCGUCACGGAAAAAGAGUUUCUGGAACAGCUCUACGUUCUAGACCACAAGAUAUCCUUUGUCAAGGAGCAGUCCUUCAAGGACUCAAGGUCCUGCCAAGACGUCAGGGACAUACUCGAGAAGCUUAAGCUGAAGGCCAUAGGAAAAAUCCGGGAGUACCUGCUGCAGAAGGUGUACUUGUUCCGCAAGCCCAUGACAAACUACCAGGUGCCCCAGAAUGCCAUGCUGAAGCACAAGUUCUUCUACCAGUUCCUCAUGACGCACGAGAGGGAAGUAGCUCGUGAGAUCCGAGACGAGUAUGUGGAUACCAUGGGCAAAAUCCUCUUCUCCUACUUCAAGACGUACACCAACCGGCUGAUGAAGCUUCAAUAUGAAGAAGUUCCUGAAAAGGAUGACUUGAUGGGUGUGGAAGAUACUACAAAAAGGGGCCUGUUCAGCUCAAAACCAUCGCUGAAGAAUAGAUCCACCGUGUUUACGCUGGGAGCUCGCAACAAUGUCCUUACCACUGAGUUGGAGAGUCCCAUCAUUGUGCCCCAUGCUGCACAGAAGAAUGAAGUUAGGUACCCCUUCGAAAGCCUUUUCAGAAGUCAGCAAUAUGCACUACUCGACAACGCUUGCCGUGAGUACCUCUUUGUCACCGAGUUCUUCAUGGUGUCAGGCCCUGCAGCUCAAGAACUCUUCAAUUCGAUCAUGAACAGGACCUUGACCAUGUUCGUGAAACAUGUGGAGCUGUAUGUGCAAGAUUGCUAUGACUCCAUAGCUCUCUUCCUGUGCAUUCACAUAAUACACCGGUUCCAGUUACUGAUGCACGAGAGAUCGGUACCUGCACUGGACAGGUACUGGGAGUCUCUGCUACAGCAUCUCUACCCAAGGUUUGAAUACAUUCUGAAGCUCAACAUACAAAGCAUCAAGGACUGCGACCCUCAGAAACUGGGGAGCAUCGACAUGCGGCCACAUUAUAUUACGAGGAGAUAUGCGGAGUUCUCGGCCGCCAUAGUCAGCAUCAAUGAGAACUUUCCCAGUGAUCGGGUGGCUGCGCUGCUGGCGUCCCUGCAAGGUGAAGUUGAGAACUUCAUUCUGAAGAUGGCCGCAGAGUUUCAAGGGAGGAAGGAGCAACUCAUUUUUCUGAUCAACAAUUACGACAUGAUGCUGAGCGUGCUGCUGGAGCGGACGAAAGAGGACUCCAAGGAGACCGAGAGCUUCAAGGAGCUGCUUCAGGCACGUACGCAGGAGUACGUGGAGGAGAUACUGGCCCCCCACUUUGGUGGCAUGAUCAGCUUUGUCAAGGAGUGCGAGCUGCUCCAAGAGAGGGGCCAGGCUGACCAGAUGCAGAAGGAAGAGAGUGAAAAAAGUUGUUAUGCUGAUACGCUCAUUCAACUCGGGCUGGAAGAAGGCCAUUGAUGACAUCAACCAGGACAUCAUGCAGACCUUUACAAAUUUCAAGAACGGCACCAACAUCUUGCAGGCCGCCCUGAUGCAGUUAAUUCAGUACUACCACCGGUUCCAGAAGGUGCUGAGCCAAGCACCCUUCAAGCAGCUCACAGUUCGCUCGGAACUGUUGAAUAUUCAUCACCUCAUGGUGGAGGUGAAGAAAUACAAGCCAAACUUCUGAGCAAUGCGAGACGAGGCUGGCAGUGUACAUACAUAGUUUAGCUCACAGCACACACUAGAUAGAGUGUGCAGAGGUCGCUUGUUUCUUUUUACUAUAUAUACAAAUUUUUUUCUUCCCUCAUGCGAGAAAUCGCAGGAGCUGACCAUUCCACUGAUGCUAGGCUAACGCUCAUUGUCAUAAGGAAGCAUUAAAUUAUUGUUAACCAAGUG
rnacentral:misc_RNA from 1 species